UUAAUAAUGUGGAACAGCCUCCUUUAGUAGUUUUUCCUUAAAUUGGGCUCACCUGGCAAUCUAAUUAUCACAGGUGUCCGAGAUUGUUUUCAGUGAUCAAAAGAGACCUGAGACACAAUGCCAUCCAUGAGUUAAACUGAAAAACAAAAUAUUUAAUCUUUGUGACACUUAAAUAGAAUUUGCAUAAUAAUUUGGAACAGGG